rnacentral:rRNA from 1 species
CCUACGGGUGGCAGCAGUGAGGAAUAUUGGUCAAUGGGCGCGAGCCUGAACCAGCCAAGUCGCGUGAAGGAUGACUGCCCUACGGUUUGUAACCUUCUUUUAUAAAGGAAUAAAGUGAGGCACGUGUGCCUUUUUGUAUGUACUUUAUGAAUAAGGAUCGGCUAACUCCGUUCCAGCAGCCGCGGUAAUACGGAGGAUACGAGCGUUAUCCGGAUUUAUUGGGUUUAAAGGGAGCGUAGAUGGGUUGUUAAGUCAGUUGUGAAAGUUUGCGGCUCAACCGUAAAAUUGCAAUUGAUACUGGUAGUCUUGAGUGCAGUUGAGGUAGGCGGAAUUCGUGGUGUAGCGGUGAAAUGCUUAGAUAUCACGAAGAACUCCGAUUGCGAAGGCAGCUUACUAAACUGCCACUGACAUUGAUGCUCGAAAGUGUGGGUAUCAAACAGGAUUAGAUACCCGAGUAGUC